rnacentral:rRNA from 1 species
UUACGGGAGGCAGCAGUGGGGAAUAUUGGGCAAUGGGGGAAACCCUGACCCAGCAACGCCGCGUGAGGGAAGAAGGUUUUCGGAUCGUAAACCUCUGUCCUCAGGGACGAAAAGAUGACGGUACCUGAGGAGGAAGCCCCGGCUAACUACGUGCCAGCAGCCGCGGUAAUACGUAGGGGGCAAGCGUUGUCCGGAAUGAUUGGGCGUAAAGGGCGCGUAGGCGGCCUGUUAAGUCUGGAGUGAAAGUCCUGCUUUCAAGGUGGGAAUUGCUUUGGAAACUGGCGGGCUGGAGUGCAGGAGAGGUUAGCGGAAUUCCCGGUGUAGCGGUGAAAUGCGUAGAGAUCGGGAGGAACACCAGUGGCGAAGGCGGCUAACUGGACUGUAACUGACGCUGAAGCGCGAAAGUGUGGGGAGCAAACAGGAUUAGAUACCCCCGUAGUCCG